rnacentral:tRNA from 1 species
GGGCUUGUAGCUCAGCAUGGAAGAGCGGUAGCCUCCUAAAUAUUUUUUUUAAAUAUGAAGAAAGCUAUAGGUCGAGGGUUCAAAUCCCUUCAAGCCCG